AACUUUUUCUGAGGAGGACGAAAUCAGAGGAAACUCUGGUGGAGUCCGUAUCGGUUCUGAGGUGCAAAUCGAUAGACACACUUCGGCAUAGGGGCAGAAGACUACUCGA
rnacentral:ncRNA from 1 species